UGUGUCAUGUUUGUCCUCCUACAGAAACCAUAUUAAAACAAAAAAUAUAUUUUUUCCCCUCAUCUUUUUCCAUUUUUCAUACAUUUUUGAAAAAGCUCCAGAGAGCCACUAGGGCGGCGCUAAAGAGCCGCGGGUUGCCGACCCCCGGUAUAUACCAACAUAGUCUGUAACUUACGUAGUCACCCUGAGGAUACACACUCCGGUACAGUAGGUGGCGGUAUGCAUGCGCCUAUAACGUUGGUUGCCACCCGCCAUUAAAUCGAAAAAGAAGAAAAAAGAAGUUUCAGCGGGCUUCCUGUUUAACAUGUGCUGUUUGACAUUUGAGUCGUUGUAAAUGUUCUAAAGUGACGACGCCACGGAUGAAGAUGGAAGUGCUUUUCCGAGCAUGGACUCUACAACAGUUGCAGUGUUGAAAGCUGCUAAUAUUAGCACGGAGAUGCUUUGAUCUCGGAAAGAUCAUCACUAUCUGGAGGCAGUUCUCCAGAGGCUGAACAUGUGGAUGGUCGAAUGUAGUGACUCCUUCAGUCCAGCAGAUGGCGCCAUUUUUCAAAAGAGCAACACAGCCAGACACAUCAGACCUCAGAGCUGUCACCGAGGCCCCGCGUGGUCAUCAUGGGUUGGCUGCUAGCGGACGUCUUGGGCCCCUCCUUCUUCUCCCGCCGUGAGCGCAGCAGCGCCACCAGCAGGAUGACGAGCAGCGCGGUGAGCAGCAGCCCCACCAGGACGCCGAUGAUGAGCACCAGGCCGUCGUCGUGUCCGUCCUCCUGGCUGUCCUGCUCUCGGGUGACAACCCCCCUGGUGAAGACCUCCCUGUCGGGCUGCGUCCUGUGCUGGCUGCCGAGGUCCAGCGCGAUGUGGAGGAUGUUGGUGCCGCGGUUGUUGUCCACGCCGAUGUCCUCCGCCGCCUCAGGCACGUCGUGGGUGGACCUCUUGAGGUGACGACGAGCGUUUGGCGUGUGGCGGCUGAGGGCGUGGUACUCCAGGCUGCGUUUGCCUAUCCCUCUGUUGGCGUUGUCGCGGGAACGCACGGUGUAGAUGGUGUGGAUGUACCAUUCUCUACCUGCCGACACCUGCAGCAACGACGUGGACACUUCAACACAACUAUCUGAUGUUCAUUUUGUCAAAGUACCUGGUUUUCUUUUUUACUUCCAACAGGAUUACUUGUUGAAUUGAUCAAAAAAGACAAAUAUAUUCUACUAA